rnacentral:lncRNA from 1 species
UUGACAGGAGACUUAGUAAGGUGGGCCAGCAUAAAACCUAGUCCACACAGAGAGCAUGAUCUUGCUCGUCGAUUAUGAGUUAGCAUGGUUGUAAGCAGUUGAUAUAUUAUGAGAAAUUUAUAUGGUAAUAAGUUAACAAGGAAGAAAUUUAUGAAGCACAAAAAUUGAAGAUCUUCUUUAGAACAUUGUGUUAUUGAUGUUUAAGAAAAGAUGCAUAAGUGAAAUUUAUGAGACAU